rnacentral:rRNA from 1 species
AUCCACGGCCAUAGGAUUUUGAAACUACCGCAUCCCGUCUGAUCUGCGCAGUCAACCAAAAUGCCG